rnacentral:lncRNA from 13 species
AUGGCAAGUGGGGAGGGAGUCGGAGGGGAGAGGAGAAGAGGAGAGAAGGAAAGAAGGGGGAAGGGGAGGGGAGAAGCCGAGGGCGGCCUGGGUUCCAGCAGCCGCCCCGCCCUCCGGCUCGCGGCGGAUUCGGCGCUGCGGCUGGAGCCGGCGGCCGGGCGGCUGCCUGUCCAGGCUGGGUCUGGCCGAGCCUCGCGUCGCCGUGCAGUGCGCCGGGUGUCCGGGAGAUGGCUUCCCCUCUCUCGCCCGCUGCUCCCGCUAUUGUCUCACCCGGGGUGGCCUGACUCUGCGAGCUCGCGCACGCUCUCGGCGGAGAGCACCCCUCCCCGCCCCCCAAGCUGGUCCUUGCACCCUUUGCUACCUCUCCCUCUCCUCCUUGGACCCCAGGGUCGGCGCGGAGCCUGGAGAGGGGAGCGGCCCGGGAGCGGGCGGCGUGCGGCCGGCCAGCUCCCCUCGCGCUGGUGCAAGAGGCGCUUGGAGCCGCAGAGCGAGCCCGGGAGGCGCGGAGCGAGCAGCCCACGUCGCUGGGCACAAGGCACGUCGGGUGUUGCAGCAGAGCCCGCAGCUAGCGCAGCAGGUUUGUGCUAAACUCUACGAAUACAACAUUGAAUUGAGUGCGGUCCCUGACCUUGAGGAAACCACGUUGUACCCACCCCCCCAAAUCCCCAAAUGCAGGUAAAUGGAUGAGUUUGUUCAUGGAGUGGGGUAAUUUUAUAAGCUCAAUGUGAAUCAAUUGUGAUAGGGUGCCCUAAGAGUUAAUAUAUACAGUCUUAGGCAGCAUUUCCUAGAGAUUAUAGAAACUAGAACUGUGGUGUUUAUUGUUUUGGAGAUCUCUAAACUCUUAAAAAUCUGAUAAAUGCUAUGAGGUGAUUAUCUGGAAAAAUACAUUAUAAUUUUGCCUUCCUCAAACAGCCUCUGAACCUCUGAUCCUAUGAUGAGGAGCUGUUAAGUCCUCUCCUCUGGGUUGGUCAGACCACCCUGAGAACAUAGUAUUAGUGGUUCUGUACUGAGCAUGUACUUUGUGUAAAACAUUGUGCUAAGCAUGCUGGGGGAGACAAAGAUAAAUAAAGAGGUAAUCCAUACGGUUUAAAGGCUUAGU